UACAGAGGUCGUCAAGCGUUGUUCGGAUUCAUUGGGCGUAAAGGGUGCGUAGGCGGCGCGGUAAGUCGGGUGUGAAAUCUCGGAGCUUAACUCCGAAACUGCAUUCGAUACUGCCGUGCUUGAGGACUGGAGAGGAGACUGGAAUUUACGGUGUAGCGGUGAAAUGCGUAGAUAUCGUAAGGAAGACCAGUGGCGAAGGCGGGUCUCUGGACAGUUCCUGACGCUGAGGCACGAAGGCCAGGGGAGCAAACGGG
rnacentral:rRNA from 1 species